UACGGAGGGUGCAAGCGUUAUCCGGAUUCACUGGGUUUAAAGGGUGCGUAGGUGGGUUGAUAAGUCAGUGGUGAAAUCCCAGCUCAACCUGGGAACUGCGUCUGAUACUGGAUGGCUUGAAUCCGGGAGAGGGAUGCAGGAAUUCCAGGUGUAGCGGUGAAAUGCGUAGAUAUCUGGAGGAAUACCGGUGGCGAAGGCGGCAUCCUGGACCGGCAUUGACGCUGAGUGAGCGAAAGCCAGGGGAGC
rnacentral:rRNA from 1 species